GCCCUGAGCCUUCCUGGACAGGAAGUCCUUAAGAUUAAAGAUUAUAUUUUUAUGGUCUCAUGCCUGCCUACUCCAAGCUAUUAACUGAAGAGAAAUGUAACUAGAAGUCAAUUUGUAGAAAGGAUAUUAACGGUCUUUGGUGUGUGUCACAAUGAAAAAUAGGAAGGAAUCAAGGUGGAGUAGUGGAGAGAAGAAACCAGCUUGGUUAUUGUUUGGAGUAUUGGAAAUAAGAGUAUUUCUGUGUGGAAGCGGAAUUGUCAUUGCAUAUGUAAUUAAAACAAAAUUGAUAAAAAACGUAGAUAUUAGGAUAUUAACAGGUAGGCCAUAUAAAGGAUUUCAUCUUACUUACUCCGGCUGCCUUUUUCAAAGCACUCUUUUUCCAAAGGAAUGUGCAGGAGAGAGAGGCUGUUUUCUUUGUUUGUUUUUCAGUUGUACUUGAUGCUGUGACGUAUCCUACAAUUGUCUAAAUGCAACGCGUUUUGAAAAUGUCAUUUCUUCACACCAGCCUGGUGGGUGACCUGUGGUUCUGCAUUUGAUAAACAUGCCCCUUGGGUUUAUAUUUUUGCAUUUACUGUUUGUCAAGAAAAUUUGAAGAAAAACAAAGAAAAAUGCAAAGAAGAAAAUAACAGUUAUCCAUGAUCUCAUCAUCCGAAGGUGGCUGUUUCAUGCCAGGGUCUGAGAAGCCGCGCUGGUUGAGGACUGGGACUAUUUUCCUGUGAACAUGCGAGGAAGGUUUGCUCCGUGUCCUCCUGGAAUGUGCUCUCCAGGGAAACUUUCCGGUGGUGAGAUCACUCCUGCAUGUAUGAAUCUUUGUUCUGAUACUUCCGACCGCAGUUCAUGCACAUAACCAGUGAAACGUGAAACAGGUUCCAUGGUGAGCAAGAAAUUCUGGAGGUUAUUCUGUUGUCCCCUGCAUCACAACUUAGGCCAACAUAGCAGCAGUCUCAAUGUCAUCAUCCUCCAUAGGUAUACUUUAUUGUUUUGUCACCUUUUUUUUUUUGAGAAAGAGAAAAUGAGACAUCACUUACUACUCUUAGUUGCUUCCCCAUGUUUCUUUUGCUUCAGAGCCAAACUCGUUAAUGAACAAGUUACAGAACACGGGGAAAAAACAAAGUACCUGGCUUGGUUUAGGCUCUGACAAGUAUUCCUUAUGGGAAAUCUGUGAAUGCACUGGGUGGAUUCUCACAGGUAUCGGUCUGGGCCAGCGCAUCCUUGCCAGAAGACAGUGAAUCUACACCCAAGAUCUGAGAUUGCUGCCAGUGCACAAGAAAAUAGAAAAAAAGAAGCCCAGUGAUAAAAGACAUGUGGAAUAUUGUUCACCUGAAUGCAGUAAAUUAAAGAAAGUCAACCACAGUGAUCACAGAGUGAAAAAACAACAAACAAAAAGCUACCCAAACUAAUUAAAAUUUUAACACUCUCCCCACCCCCACCCUUAACCCUAGCAGCUUUGAUUGACAUUUCAUAGUUAAGCUAGUCCAUUUGUUUUUAAAGCCAAAGUUCCCACAGCAUAAAAAUAGCACAAUAGCCCCUGCUUGGCAGCUUGUGGACAAGUGCAAGGAGCUUGGAGAAGCGCUGAUGGUUCUAUUGAAGAAGCAGCUGUUUGUGUCUUCACUUCUGACCCGUGGCCGCACUCUGGGCUGGCUGUGCUCAAAGGUCUUUCACUCUCCCCCCUCCAAGCGGCUUGCUAUUCACAAAACAGAAGCCAGGCGUGUGUUGGUUUCAGCUACUUCCAGAAGCAGAUGCGGCAAUUACCUUCAGAGGCAAGCAUGAGAUGAACUUUGAGUGGUGGCCGGCUUUUAGGAUGGUGGUCCAUCCAAGGAGACUUUUAUUGCUGGUAAUCCUUUUAGAUCUUCAGCACCAAUUGAUGGUCUUUACUUCAAGCUAUUGUCAACACAGAUGGCGCUGGGUUUGGAAUGCCAGAGGCAGACAAAUCCUGCCUGUGUUUAUCCAGUUUUAACUUUUGUGCUAAGCGAUUGAACUAUGAAUGCUAGCAACAAAGAAACAAAAAGAAAGAAUAUUUCCAUCAGAUGUUAUCUGUUCAUUGUGAAAACUAAUUAGGACACCUACACAGACUCACAGAUAGGCUAAUGUUAAAUGAUUAUAUAUAUCUAUA
rnacentral:lncRNA from 1 species